UACGUAGGGUCCGAGCGUUGUCCGGAAUUAUUGGGCGUAAAGAGCUCGUAGGCGGUUUGUUGCGUCGGCUGUGAAAUCCCGAGGCUCAACCUCGGGUCUGCAGUCGAUACGAGCAAACUAGAGUGUUGCAGGGGAGACUGGAAUUCCUGGUGUAGCGGUGAAAUGCGCAGAUAUCAGGAGGAACACCAAUGGCGAAGGCAGCACUCUGGGACGUGACUGACGCUGAGACGCGAAAGCGUGGGGAGCAAACAGG
rnacentral:rRNA from 1 species